rnacentral:misc_RNA from 1 species
UGUGGGAGCGGGCUUGCUCGCGAUGCAGGCGACACGGUCUGUCUGGAUAACCGCGUGAUGCAAUCGCGAGCAAGCCCGCUCUCACA